AAAUAUUGUUAUAUAAACUAAAGUAUUUUAGUAUAGAAAUAAGAAAUCCGCACGGUUAUGCGGGUCGAGAUCUAGUUAGUAUUAAAAACCAGCUAAAAUUUAAAGCCACGAACUGUCAAAUCACAGAUAUUUUUUUUCAAACAUAAUGCAUAUUUUGAAAGAAAGAAAACUGAAUUGAUUUUGACCAAAAAAAAAAAAAACUGAAUUGAUACUGAAAAAAAACUGAACUGAAACAUAAACCGUAACAUAUGUUAAGAAAACAUAAACCAUAACACGAAAAUUUAGGUUUCUGUUAAAAAAUAAAUAUUUAGCUUUCCGUUACAAAAUAAAUAUUUAGCUUUCUAUUAAAUAAAUAAAAACUGAAGUUAAUAAUAGACAACCAAAAACCAAAAUUGGACUUUAUAUUUAAAGCUAACUCUAUAUUAUUAAAAGAGAAGUACCCUUUAAAAAAUACCCCUAAAUUUUCGAACUUAUUUACACUUCCC
rnacentral:lncRNA from 1 species